UUUUUUUUUUUUUUUUUUUUUUUUUUUUAUGAAUUUACAAUUUACAGCAUAGCAUUGAACAACUAAAACGAGUAAUGGUGUUAGAAAUGGAAACAAAUGAAAAUCAAAAAUUUUUUCCAAAUAAGAUGAAUAACAAUGAUUCAGAAAAACAUAAUAAUGAAGAACGCCUUGAAAAUAUAAAUAGUCUAGAUGAAAUCUAUUUUUAUCAAUGUGUAGAUGGACAAUGCAUAUUCUUAGAUCCUUUUAUCCUAAAAUUACUUUUUUAUGAGUAUGAUAAUGAUUUAAAUAGAAUACCAAAAUUUCUAUGUGAUAAACAAAUUACAUACAUUGAAUCUUUCGAACUAGACCCCAAAAUGAGAAAUAAACACCCAACUUUGUCACAUUUACCUUUGGGAGUUAACGUUUUUUUUGUUUCUAUAAAUAUAGAUAACCUUGUGUCGAAAAAAACUAAAACAUACUUUUCAAAAGAAAUACUUGAAAGGGAAAAGAAGCAUCGAUUUAUAUUGAGUAAAAAAAGACAGGAGGAAAAGUAUUUUAAGUUGUUAGCGGAUGAAGACAUGAACCGAAAAGAAAAACUUUAUUGGAAUUUGCCUCGAAAUACAAUCAAUUUUUUAGAGGACUCAAUGACUGGAAAUUAUAACAUACAAAGACGUUCUGAGCAUCCUGAUGAUAAAACGUUUCCUAGUUUGACACUGGAAAGUUCUAAACUGUUUCACUAUGACGAACAUUUAACAAAAAAUCAAAUGGAUAGUAUAAAUUUGGCAAGUGUGAAAAAUGUAGAAACUAAGGAAAUGCAAGAGCAGGGACAGAAAAAAGAGCAGGAACAAGAACAGGGACAGAAAAAAGAGCAGGAACAAGAACAGGGACAGAAAAAAGAGCAGGAACAAGAACAGGUACAAGAACAGGAGCAUGACUAUAAGCAAGAACAAGAGCAGGAACAAAAGCAGAAACAAGAACAAAAAUACGAAAAUAAGCGUGAGCAGAAAGAGGGACAGGUUACUAAACAUUAUGUUGGUGAUAGUAAAAAAAAAAAAAAAAAAAAAAAAAAAAAAAAAAAAAACUAGCUUAAUUUAUCAUUUACAUUUUCUAAAUAGUUUUUUUCUAAGAAUGAUUGUUUUGAAGCCUCUAAUUUAUCUUUUAAUUGAAUAUAAAACAUUAUAUUAUUAUUUUCUAUACCUUUAGCAAAUGAUUUUUCUUCAAUUAUUUUAGUUAUAAUAGCUAUUUUUUCAUCUAAAAGUUUUAAUUUUUCAUCAUUACUAAAAGAAGAAUAUAAAAUUUUUGCUCUUUUUAAAUGUGAUACAUUAUUAUUAUAACCAUCAAUACUAGAAUUGGAAUCAUUUUGAUCAAUUUUUUCUUCUUCGUAUUGAUCUGCAUCCUCUUCUAAAAAUUCAAAAGAUUCUUCCAAUAAUUUCCUAUAAACUUUAUCUAUUUUAAAAUUACUACUAUUAUAUUCUUUAUCUUCUCUUAUAUUAUAUCCUAGGUCUUUGUAUAAUGCACUAGUUGAAAUAUUACGAUUAAAUAAAAUAUCUUUAUCACUACUGUUAUCA
ensembl:lncRNA